GAUGAACGCUAGCGGCAGGCCUCAUACAUGCAAGUCGAGGGGCAGCGGGACACUUCGGUGUUGCCGGCGACCGGCGGACGGGUGCGUAAUGCGCAUGCAAUCUACUUUACACUGGGGAAUAGCCUCCGGAAACGGGAAUUAAUACCCCAUAUAAUCUUAUUAGCGCAUGUUAAAAAGAUGAAAGCUCCGGCGGUGUAAAAUGAGCGUGCGUCCUAUUAGCUAGUUGGUGAGGUAAUGGCUCACCAAGGCUACGAUGGGUAGGGGUUCUUAGUGGAAGGUCCCCCACACUGGCACUGAGAUACGGGCCAGACUCCUACGGGAGGCAGCAGUAGGGAAUAUUGGUCAAUGGGCGCAAGCCUGAACCAGCCAUGCCGCGUGCAGGAUGAAGGCUCUCUGAGUUGUAAACUGCUUUUGUACAGGAGCAAAAAAAUCCCUGCGGGGGUUCUUGAGAGUACUGUAAGAAUAAGCACCGGCUAAUUCCGUGCCAGCAGCCGCGGUAAUACGGGAGGUGCAAGCGUUAUCCGGUUUUAUUGGGUUUAAAGGGCGCGUAGGCGGCUUAUUAAGUCAGUUGUGAAAUCCUAGUGCUUAACGCUAGAACUGCGAUUGAUACUAUUAGGCUUGAGUUAAGAAGAGGUAA
rnacentral:rRNA from 1 species